rnacentral:rRNA from 1 species
AUUGAACGCUGGCGGCAGGCCUAAAACAUGCAAGUCGAGCGGAGCGGCGGACGGGUGAGUAAUGCCUAGGAAUCUGCCUGGUAGUGGGGGAUAACGUCCGGAAACGGGCGCUAAUAUCGCAUACUAUCAGAUGAGCCUAGGUCGGAUUAGCUAGUUGGUGGGGUAAAGGCAUACCAAGGCGACGAUCCGUAACUGGUCUGAGAGGAUGAUCAGUCACACUGGAACUGAGACACGGUCCAGACGCCGACGGGAGGCAUCAGUAGGGAAUAUUGGACAAUGGGCGUAAGCCUGAUCAAGCCAGUCCGCGUGAGUGGAGAAGGUCUUCGGAUUGUAAAGCACUUUUAGUUGGGAGGCGUUACCAACAGAAAUAGCACCGGCUAGUUUCGUGCUAGCAGCCGCGGUAAUAC